rnacentral:rRNA from 1 species
GACGAACGCUGGCGGCGUGCUUAACACAUGCAAGUCGAACGAAGUGGCGAACGGGUGAGUAACGCGUAAUCAACCUGCCCUUCAGAGGGGGACAACAGUUGGAAACGACUGCUAAUACCGCAUACUGAAGGAGGGGCUUGCGUCGGAUUAGCUAGUUGGAGGGGUAACGGCCCACCAAGGCGAUGAUCAGUAGCCGGUGUGAUGGGAGGAACGGCCACAGUGGGAAUGAGGAACGGACCAGAAUCAUACGGGAGGCAGCAGUGGGGAAUCGUCCGCAAUGGAAGAAAGUCUGACGGGGCAACGCCGCGGGGGUGAUGACGGCCUUCGGGUUGUAAAGCUCUGUUAAUCGGGACGCGGUAACGAAAUAGAAAGCCACGGCUAACUACGUGCCAGCAGCCGCGGUAAUUC